rnacentral:rRNA from 1 species
AUCUCUGUAGAGUCUGCAUAUCAAUAAGCGGAGGAAAAGAAACUAACGAGGAUUCCCCUCAGUAACGGCGAGUGAAGCGGGAAGAGCUCAAAUUUGAAAUCUUCAAGGUUCUACCUUGACGAAUUGUAGUUUAAAGAAGUGUUUUCUGUUGAAGUUUUGGUAAAAGUUCUUUGGAAUAGGACAUCAUAGAGGGUGAGAAUCCCGUAUUUGACCAUUAUUUUCCAGCUGUGUGAUACACUUUCAAAGAGUCGGAUUGUUUGGGAAUGCAGUCCAAAAUGGGUGGUAAAUUUCAUCUAAAGCUAAAUAUUGGCGAGAGACCGAUAGCGAACAAGUACCGUGAGGGAAAGAUGAAAAGAACUUUGAAAAGAGAGUUAAACAGUACGUGAAAUUGUCAAAAGGGAAGCGUUUGACACCAGUGUUGUUUUUCUCGAAAAUCAAUUACAAAUGGCUAGGAUUUUGUGUUGUAUUGACCUUAUCAGCUUUCUGCACUUUUUUCUAGUCUUUCUUAAUGCACUUUUCGUUUAACAAGUCAACAUCAAUUUCUUUUGUUGUAAAAGGAGUCAUUCGGAAGGUGGCUUUCUUUUCGGAGAAAGUGUUUAUAGCCCUAUGACUUCUGCAAUCGGAGAGAUUGAGGUCUGCAGCGUAGAUCCUUCUGGGAUUAGAUACACUUGUGCUAAGUUAACCGUUUCAUAGACAACUUGUUGACUAUAUUUAGAUCAUGCUAGCUUAUUCGCUUAUGCUAAUUUUACCUACGCUUAGGAUGUUGAAGAUGUAGCACAUCAU